AUGUAGCAUAGUGGUAGAGCACUUGCCUGGCAUGUAUGAGGCCCUGGGUUCAAAGCCCAGCAU
rnacentral:tRNA from 1 species